rnacentral:rRNA from 1 species
UGCGUAGGCGGUUACUUAAGUAGGGUGUGAAAUGUCCCGGCUCAACCGGGGAAUGGCGCUCUAAACUGGGUGGCUUGAGUGAGAUAGAGGUGUGCGGAACUUCCGGUGGAGCGGUGAAAUGUGUUGAUAUCGGAGGGAACACCAUUGGCGAAAGCGGCACACUGGGUCUCGACUGACGCUGAGGCACGAAAGCCAGGGGGAGCAAACGG